CAAAAGCGUAUAUUAAAGUUGUUGCAGUUAAAAAGCUCGUAGUUGAACCUUGGGCUUGGCUGGCCGGUCCAUCUUUUUUGAUGCGUACUGGACCCAGCCGAGCCUUUCCUUCUGGCUAGCCUUUUGGCGAACCAGGACUUUUACUUUGAAAAAAUUAGAGUGUUCAAAGCAGGCCUUUGCUCGAAUAUAUUAGCAUGGAAUAAUAGAAUAGGACGUUAUGGUUCUAUUUUGUUGGUUUCUAGGACCAUCGUAAUGAUUAAUAGGGACGGUCGGGGGUAUCAGUAUUCAGUUGUCAGAGGCGAAAUUCUUGGAUUUACUGAAGACUAACUACUGCGAAAGCAUUUACCAAGGACGUUUUCAUUAA
rnacentral:rRNA from 1 species